rnacentral:misc_RNA from 1 species
UCGUGGUCGAUGUUUCUCCUUCCUGCUCUUUCCGCCGCGGUAGUCGUCCAUUUUACUUGUUCGUUCAUUCGAGCGUUUUUUCAUCGAUGAACUGCUUGUUUACCCAAUCAAUCAACGUUUGAACAAUGGACGGAGCACCAGGCGGUAGAGGUGGAUUCCGAGGACGUGGUCCUGGAGGACUAAUGAGAGGACGUGGUGGCUUUGGAGACAGAGGACGAGGUGGUCCUCCACGAGGAGGUAAUAUGAUACGUGGAGGUAGAGGCAGUGGACCUGGUGGAAGCAUGAGAGGAGGUCCACCUAUGAGAAGUAGGGGUGGUCCUCCUAGAGGAGGGCGUGGUGGACAUUUUCCUCCAGGGCCACCUGAACCAGGAAUGUCCAGUGGAGGUGGGCCACUACCCUUAGGAAUGGGUGGUCCUCCGCGAGGUGGCGGCGGAAGAGGUGGUGGAAAUAACAGUUUUCGCAGCAGAGGCAGGGGAGAUUUUGGUAGAGGAGAUAAUCGUGCCAGUAAUAAUUUCCGUGGACGCGGUGGCAUAGAUAGAGGAAGAGGAGGAUCUCGAGGAUCAGGUAGAGGUGGGCCAAGCCGUGGAGGCGGUUUUUCUGAUCGUGGUGGACGAGGAAUAGGUGGUGGACGAGGUGGUCCAACAAAACGAGGAGGAGGUCCACCUAGUUCUAGUGGUCCCUCUAAAAGGCCACGUUUUGAUCAACCCUCUUCACAGUCUUCCAAUGGUUAUGCUACUCAAUCAUCUAGCCAAGGUUAUGGAGGCUCAAAUAAUGCUUAUGGUGGUCAACAACCACAGCAGCAGCAAUCGGUAGGAUAUGGCGGCGGCGGUGGCGGUUACGGAUCACAAGGAUAUACACAAUCCUAUCAGGGUUACGAGAGUUAUCAGCAAUCAGAUUACGCUCAAACAAGUGGCUAUCCACCGUCUGCACCACCGGAUAGUAGAUACGGCGGAUCGUCCUCGGUUCCUGUUGCAGGAGGAUUCAGCACUAACGAUCCCUAUUAUGGCAAAGCUCCGCCUAGUUCAGCCAAUUACCAGCAGGAGGCAGUGCCAGCAGCGGGGCCGGGGGGUGGUUAUGCCCCUGCUAACCCAUAUGACGACCGGUCUAAUGCCAACAUAAUCAACCGGGGUGGUUAUUCGACGCAACCUUACGAUUAUCCAAAUCAAGAUGGUGUUUAUGGAAAACAGGAUUAUGGUUGAUCACAACUAAUAUUAAUCGCCGAAUGUGAGACUAUCACCUACAUGAGAUCAUCGAUGACUGCCACAUGAUUGGCAUCGCAAUUUCGAGGGCUGAAAAAUGAAGUGUCUGUUAUUACGUAUAGCGAUUAAUAAAGAACACUUUCUGGGAAUUAUAUUAU